rnacentral:rRNA from 1 species
GAUGAACGCUGGCGGCGUGCCUAAUACAUGCAAGUCGAGCGAAUGGAUUAAGAGCUUGCUCUUAUGAAGUUAGCGGCGGACGGGUGAGUAACACGUGGGUAACCUGCCCAUAAGACUGGGAUAACUCCGGGAAACCGGGGCUAAUACCGGAUAAUAUUUUGAACUGCAUGGUUCAAAAUUGAAAGGCGGCUUCGGCUGUCACUUAUGGAUGGACCCGCGUCGCAUUAGCUAGUUGGUGAGGUAACGGCUCACCAAGGCAACGAUGCGUAGCCGGCCUGAGAGGGUGAAGGGCCACACAGGGACUGAGACACGGCGCAGAAUCCUACGGGAGGCAGCCGUAGGGAAUCUUCCACAAUGGACGAAAGUCAGACGGAGAAACGCCGCGUGAGUGAUGAAGGCUUUCGGGUCGUAAAACUCUGUUGUUAGGGAAGAACAAGUGCUAGUUGAAUAAGCUGGCACCUUGACGGUACCUAACCAGAAAGCCACGGCUAACUACGUGCCAGCCGCCGCGGUAA